GGAAGAUGGCGGAGUGAGGGGAAGAAGUGGAGCGAGAGCCGCUGCGGGCUGCGGCCCAGGGGCCUCAGCUGUGGGUGCCAAACAUAAUGGGCGCUGGGACACUAUCCUGAAGGAUGAAGCUUUUUGCCUGCGUCCCGUUGGAGCUGGAAUGGGAAACGGCGCUUCACGGGCGGCACUGAGCUCUGCAACUGCGAGGAAGGCACCGCUAGCCCUUCUGAUCAGAAUGGCUAAUGGAAAGCCAGAGUCCUCGGGUGGAAGUUUCUGUUGGACCGCAAGCAUGACCGGUUGGACAAGCUUGAUAUGGCAAGCAUGGAACACAGCUGGGCAUUGGUGUCUGAAAGCAUCUUGAGUUCCUCUGAGUAGUGUUCUUGGAACAUUCCCUUGCCUGACUUUUCCAGAGGACUCACAGAACAGAGGUGUUGCCCCUCUAGGUCUGUGCGUAUACCACAGUGAUUGGCAGGGAAAACAAGAGACUUGUAUUAACUGAAAACUACAGGCAAAAGUUCUUGGUGAUAAAAUGAUUACUGCAGCAUGAAAUGAAAGAGGAACUGUGACAAGACUGAAACAACUAAAUGUCCUAUCUUCCAAGAGGGAAGAAAAUCCAGGAAUUAUCCAUCAAUAAAGGUCAUUUCUUUUUGAUCCAGGAGAGGCUGUUUCUAAAGAAUUGCUAUUCACAAAUGCCAGACUUGUGAAGAAAACUUUUCCUUUAUUCCCUAAAAGGAAUUGAAGAAAUGCUGCUCUGAUUCUUUUCCAGCUCCUUAUCAUAAAAAAUUGUUAUAUGAAGCCUGUAUUACAGAGGUGGAAAGUACAGCCCUUGCAAAAUAACUGAAAUGAAUAUGUAGAAUUUCAUACUGUUAGGUAAACCAGGCCUUUGUUUAGGGUUUUUGCUCUCUAGAAAUGAUUGUUUAUACAAAUACAGGCAAUUGCCAGUUCUUGUUCAUACUUUGUUCCCUUCAAUAUAUUUUAGUAAGAUAACUCACCACAAAAAUCUUUGGAGAACCUAACAGAUUGGUAUGUCCUUGAAGUACUGUCUCAGAAACCUUGAUGAAAAAUUGUGGCAGAAGAACCCGGAUACAUGUGUUAUAAAAGAAAAAAGAUAAAUAGUUUGAAAGAUUU